rnacentral:tRNA from 1 species
GAAGGUAUAGCUCAAGUGGUAGAGUGUGUGCUUAGCAUGCACGAGGUCCUGGGUUCAAUCCCCAGUGCCUCCA